rnacentral:rRNA from 1 species
GUUGAACGCUGGCGGCAUGCUUUACACAUGCAAGUCGAACGGUAACAGGCCGCAAGGUGCUGACGAGUGGCGAACGGGUGCGUAAUGCAUCGGAACGUGCCCAGUCGUGGGGGAUAACUACUCGAAAGAGUAGCUAAUACCGCAUACGAUCUAUGGAUGAAAGCGGGGGACCGUAAGGCCUCGCGCGAUUGGAGCGGCCGAUGUCAGAUUAGGUAGUUGGUGGGGUAAAGGCUCACCAAGCCAACGAUCUGUAGCUGGUCUGAGAGGACGACCAGCCACACUGGGACUGAGACACGGCCCAGACUCCUACGGGAGGCAGCAGUGGGGAAUUUUGGACAAUGGGCGCAAGCCUGAUCCAGCAAUGCCGCGUGCAGGAAGAAGGCCUUCGGGUUGUAAACUGCUUUUGUACGGAACGAAACGGCUCUGGUUAAUACCCGGGGCUAAUGACGGUACCGUAAGAAUAAGCACCGGCUAACUACGUG